rnacentral:rRNA from 1 species
CCUACGGGAGGCAGCAGUAGGGAAUCUUCCACAAUGGGCGAAAGCCUGAUGGAGCAACGCCGCGUGGGUGAAGAAGGUCUUCGGAUCGUAAAACCCUGUUGUUAGAGAAGAAAGUGCGUGAGAGUAACUGUUCACGUUUCGACGGUAUCUAACCAGAAAGCCACGGCUAACUACGUGCCAGCAGCUGCGGUAAUACGUAGGUGGCAAGCGUUAUCCGGAUUUGUUGGGCGUAAAGGGAACGCAGGCGGUCUUUUAAGUCUGAUGUGAAAGCCUUCGGCUUAACCGGAGUAGUGCGUUGGAAACUGGGAGACUUGAGUGCAGAAGAGGAGAGUGGAACUCCAUGUGUAGCGGUGAAAUGCGUAGAUAUAUGGAAGAACACCAGUGGCGAAAGCGGCUCUCUGGUCUGUAACUGACGCUGAGGUUCGAAAGCGUGGGUAGCAAACAGGAUUAGAUACCCUAGUAGUC